GGAGGUGGGACCGAUAACUUCGGUCGUUCUGGGGCGGACCACUUCUAACUGCCUCACUUUGGAGGCGAUGGGACUGACCGUGUACUCUUUGGAGAGGGCGGUGCAGGCGGUGGAGGUAGUGGGGCCGAUCUUUUUGGUGUUGGAGAACGCGGUGGAGGCGUUGGAGUCCUCGGUGGUGGAGGUGGAGACCGCGGUGGAGGUAGUGGUG
rnacentral:lncRNA from 1 species